AAAGUCGUAACAAGGUUUCCGUAGGUGAACCUGCGGAAGGAUCAUUAUUGAACUUUGAAUACUUGUGGCUUCGUGGGUCUGUAGCUGGCCUCUUCGGAGGUAUGUGCUCGCCUGCGUCGCUGCAACUUUCUUUGUCCACCUGUGCACCUUUUGUAGGCUUGGAUACCCAUCGCGAAGUAGGCAACUACUGUCCGGUUCUGGAGGGCGUGCAUUCACUUGCUCCCUCUGCUUUCCAAGUCUAUGUCUACACAAACUCUUUUGUAUGUCUAGAAUGUCAUCGUUUAUUGGACGCGAGUCCUAUAAAACUUUAUACAACUUUCAACAACGGAUCUCUUGGCUCUC
rnacentral:misc_RNA from 1 species